AAACUGAGCAAAUAUCCAUACCGGAGAUCUGCAUGGACCUUGGAGAACCGGACCUGAUUUGUUGUGAACAUUUUGGACUUUGAAACCAUCGCGAUCUGCACGGGUGCGGAUGAAGCGGACAAGAUCCUCUCUGAGAGUUGAACAUAAGAAGCGUGAUGGCUAGGUUUUUUUUGUGGGAUCGUGAGACCUGGAUUUCUUCCUGACGAGGAAGAUGGCGAGCCUUUCCCUUUGAACCGAACCACAGUCAUUCCGAGUUGGCCCAGAAGGGCAGGUUGCUCUUCUCUCACGAACAAUUGCAACAGUGCGGUAGGACGAAAUUGCACCAAUCACAGACUUUUGACCUUUUGGAUUUGACUUGACUGAACACUGACUAUUAAGCCGGCAAGACUGACAUAUCUGAGCUCAGAUAGGAUUCUGAUGGUUAUUAUUAUUGCUGUCACUGUACUUUAUUUUAUGUUUUCAUUCCUGUU